AGAUUGAAGUGUAAUGGUCCAUACAAAAUAGGAAAAAUUUUAAAUAUCCUUCUUGUAAUUUUGUACUUUCUCAUUUUGAUAUUUUGUAAUUUAAAGUAUAUCGAUUUAGUAUUUCGUAAUUUUUUUUCUCUUUUUAUUAUUUCUUCUAUUAUUUUUUUUUCGUUAAAUCAGUAAGAAAGUUAAAAUUAAAAGAUAUUAAAAUAAUUAUUCGAUAAAAUUUAGAUGGGAUAUUUAAAAUUUUUUGUAUAUAAUUUAACGAAAUGUUACCGGAAGAGCUGACGAAAAGAGAAAAAUAAAAUCACAAGGUACUAAAUUAAUACACUUUAAAUCAUAGAGUAUUAAAAUGAGAAAAUACGAAAUUAUAAAAAUGAUAUUUGAAAUUUGUACUAAAAAAGAUAUAAUAAGGUGUGUAGGCAGAUGAUGAAGCGCAAUUAAUACUCCGAUCAGCUCGGGAGCUGCUCUUAAUUCUUCCGGUUUUCUCUCCGUAAUUUUCAUCCGAGUAAGCGCCGUCCAUAGGACUAAAUAGGGCAAAAAUUUUCUGGGCAGCGUGCCAUAGAAAGUACUUUGGGGAUGCCCGGGAUGGCCGCCGCGUGGCACUCGGACGUCUCGGAUGGGCGCCGCGUAACACUCCCCACGCGAGGUUCAUCACCCCGCUGCUCUGCUUUUGGGAGAGUAGUGGUCUUUUUCUUUGCACCCGAAUCCAUAUCCGUCGCGUUUCUAUUUUUGAUAUUCAUAUCCGAAUCCAUAUCCAUAUCCAUCGGAUAUAUCCAUUUCAUUCAGGUUCGGAUUCGGAUAAAAUUUUGGGUAUUCAUACCCAUUGACAUCCCUAGCCACAAGGCGUCCAUCCGAAAUAUCCUCAAAUAACUCCAUAUGGACACAACGUACAAAAAAAAUUUGCCCGACUAAAUACACGCUGGGCUUUACAAGCACAUGAUAUAAAUGGAAUAAUACAAUUGCACAAUCACGCACAGUUCACAUAUAUCAAAUCAUGAUUCACUAGUUAAACCACCCACGCAAUACGACGGAUAGUUAAUAUUAUAUUUAUUUUAUAAUUAAUAUUAGAAAGUAUAUUUUAAUUAAAUAACAUAAUAUUAAUAAAUUAUCAUUACUUAAAAAUAUAAUUUUUUUACUGCUAAAUAAAUUUCAGAAUUAGUAUUCAAACAAAAAUUCAAUAUAGAGAAGUAAAAGAAAAGAAGAAAAAAUUAUUUUUUUUGUUCACAGAUAGAAUAAUAUUUGGCGAAAAUUAUAUUAUUGAGAAUAUACAAUUAUAAAGUGUUCGCGCUUCACGUCCAAAGUAAAAUAUUAUCGUUAGUUGAAGCUUAAUAAUUUUAUUCCGCGAACUAUUAAGAUAAUAUAAUAAUUUAGAAGAAAAAAAUAAGCGAGUUCGGUUUAGAGUGUGGUGCUUAUAUAAAUU
rnacentral:lncRNA from 1 species